UACGUAGGGUGCGAGCGUUGCCCGGAUUUAUUGGGCGUAAAGGGCGCGUAGGCGGCCACGCACGUCCGUUGUGAAAUCGCCCGGCUCAACUGGGCGGGGUCGGCGGAUACGGCGUGGCUGGAGCAAGCUAGGGGGCAAUGGAAUUCCCGGUGUAGUGGUGGAAUGCGUAGAUAUCGGGAGGAACACCAGUGGCGAAGGCGGUUGCCUGGAGCUUUGCUGACGCUGAGGCGCGAAAGCGUGGGAGCGAUCCGG
rnacentral:rRNA from 1 species